rnacentral:rRNA from 1 species
UCAUAUGAUUGUGCCAGCAGCGCGCGGUAAUACGAAGGGCAAGCGUGUUCGGAAUAUUGGGCGUAAAGGGCGCGUAGGCGGUCUCAUGUGUCCGCUGUGAAAUCACACGGCUCAACCGUGUUGGGUCGGCGGAAACUGUGAGACUUGAGGCUGGGAGGGGUCGGUGGAAUUCUUCAUGUAGCGGUGAAAUGCGUAGAUAUGAGGGAGAACACUCGUGGCGAAGGCGGCCGGCUGGACCAGUUCUGACGCUGAGGCGCGAAAGCGUGGGUAGCAAACAGGAUUAGAUACCCUGGUAGUCCACGCCGUAAACGAUGGGCACUAGGUGUCGGCGGUAUUAAUCCCGUCGGUGCUGGCGCUAACGCAGUAAGUGCCCCGCCUGGGGAGUACGGUCGCAAGGCUGAAACUCAAAGAAAUUGACGGGGGCCCGCACAAGCGGUGGAGCAUGUGGUUUAAUUCGACGCAACGCGAAGAACCUUACCUGGGCUUGACAUGCACUGGACCGGCAGUGAAAGCUGUCCUCUCUUCGGAGCUAGUGCACAGGUGCUGCAUGGCUGUCGUCAGCUCGUGUCGUGAGAUGUUGGGUUAAGUCCCGCAACGAGCGCAACCCUCGCCCUCUGUUGCUAACGGGUUAUGCUGUGCACUCUGAGGGGACUGCCCCGGUUAACGGGGAGGAAGGUGGGGAUGACGUCAAGUCCUCAUGGCCUUUAUGUCCAGGGCUACACACGUGCUACAAUGGUCAGGACAAUGGGUUGCUCCUCUGCAAAGAGUCGCUAAUCCCAAAAACCUGAUCUCAGUUCGGAUGGUCGGCUGCAACUCGCCGGCCUGAAGCUGGAAUCGCUAGUAAUCGGAGAUCAGCACGCUCCGGUGAAUACGUUCCCGGGCCUUGUACACACCGCCCGUCA